AGAGGCGUUAGACACAAAUACAAACUCAGCUGGAAAACACAAUACGAAACCCCAAAAUUGAAAACCCUAGACCCAAAUCCUUCUUCUUUGUCUCCACUCCCAUCUGCGUUAGACACAAACACAAACUCAGCUUGGAAACACGAUUGGAGUGUGCAAGAGAAUAUGCAGGAAACCCAAAACUGAAAACCCUAGACGCAAUUCCUUCUCCUUGGUCACCACUCCCAUCUGAGACAAUCUCUUCCUGGCAACGCGGAGACUAGCUUUUGAACUGCUAAACGUUCAAUUGGAAUUUAUAAACAUGGAGCCAUGAUUUGAUGAUUGCAGGUUAUCAGUAAAUGUGCACAUCAUGACCACUUCAUUAGAGGAGGAGCAGCAAUAAUUGUGCAAAACAGAGAGGAAAAAGGUUUAGAUAUUUACUUCUUCCAGAGACUAGCUUUGGAACUAAUAAACCUUCUAUUGGAAUUUCAAAAAGUGGAGGGCUCAAACUCAGACCCUAUCCUCUCUCUUUAAUCUCAGCCAAAUCCAUCACCACUCUCAAUUUGCUUCUGUCACUAAUGUUGCACAAGCUUGAAGAAGUUGAGAAAAGAGAAGAGCCUAAGAAAGGGAGGAAAUAGAUUCUUGAAAAGCAUUGUAUAAAGCUUGAAGAUGUAAGCACAAUUGUAUAUUUAUUCUAUUUACUGGUUCUUUUGUAAUACUUAUUAUAUCAAAUGU